rnacentral:SRP_RNA from 1 species
GAUCCAGUCCUGUGCGACGAAAGACCAUAAAACCCCGUCAGGCCCGGAAGGGAGCAGCGGUAUAUGGUAUUUCGGGUGCUGCGGGAGCACUGGAUCUCC